rnacentral:rRNA from 1 species
CUACGGGAGGCAGCAGUGGGGAAUCUUAGACAAUGGGCGCAAGCCUGAUCUAGCCAUGCCGCGUGAGUGACGAAGGCCUUAGGGUCGUAAAGCUCUUUCGCCAGGGAUGAUAAUGACAGUACCUGGUAAAGAAACCCCGGCUAACUCCGUGCCAGCAGCCGCGGUAAUACGGAGGGGGUUAGCGUUGUUCGGAAUUACUGGGCGUAAAGCGCACGUAGGCGGACUGGAAAGUUGGGGGUGAAAUCCCGGGGCUCAACCUCGGAACUGCCUCCAAAACUACUAGUCUAGAGUUCGAGAGAGGUGAGUGGAAUUCCGAGUGUAGAGGUGAAAUUCGUAGAUAUUCGGAGGAACACCAGUGGCGAAGGCGGCUCACUGGCUCGAUACUGACGCUGAGGUGCGAAAGUGUGGGGAGCAAACAGGAUUAGAUACCCUGGUAGUCCACACCGUAAACGAUGAAUGCCAGUCGUCGGCAAGCAUGCUUGUCGGUGACACACCUAACGGAUUAAGCAUUCCGCCUGGGGAGUACGGUCGCAAGAUUAAAACUCAAAGGAAUUGACGG